rnacentral:rRNA from 1 species
CCUACGGGUGGCAGCAGUGAGGAAUAUUGGUCAAUGGACGAGAGUCUGAACCAGCCAAGUAGCGUGAAGGAUGACUGCCCUAUGGGUUGUAAACUUCUUUUAUAUGGGAAUAAAAUGUUCCACGUGUGGGAUUUUGUAUGUACCAUAUGAAUAAGGAUCGGCUAACUCCGUGCCAGCAGCCGCGGUAAUACGGAGGAUCCGAGCGUUAUCCGGAUUUAUUGGGUUUAAAGGGAGCGUAGGUGGAUUGUUAAGUCAGUUGUGAAAGUUUGCGGCUCAACCGUAAAAUUGCAGUUGAAACUGGCAGUCUUGAGUACAGUAGAGGUGGGCGGAAUUCGUGGAGUAGCGGUGAAAUGCUUAGAUAUCACGAAGAACUCCGAUUGCGAAGGCAGUUCACUGGACUGCAACUGACACUGAGGCUCGAAAGUGUGGGUAUCAAACAGGAUUAGAAACCCGAGUAGUC